CAAGUUACCUGGCAAGGGAGAUACCAUGAUCACGCAGGUGGUUUUCCCAGGGCGAGGUUCAUCCAUUGUACUUGGAAUGUGCUGGUCUCUGCGAUUUCCCCAAAUGUGGGAAACUUGACUACAUAAUUUGUGAAGUUUGAUAUGUACUUGAAAUAUUCU
rnacentral:snRNA from 1 species